UGGAGGGAGAAAUAAUGUGGUCUUGUCUUCAUUAGUGUUACACAGUAGCAUCUUUUAUGUGUGAGGCCCCUUGUGGUUCAGUUUCGUCGGGGCUGAGGGCGUCUGCAGGAGUCUGCCGAGCCUCCCUUAUAGAAUCACAGUUUAUUCUAGAAGACUGAUGAACUUCAGAAAUGAGAAUUGUACUUCAAAUCUGAACUUGGCAAAUGAUCUGAAUGUGUUUCCCUUACAGUUUUUGUUACAGAUACAACAUUCAACAAAUCAAGAUAAAUUGGAUAAAAUAAAUCGAAGUAAAUUGGAUAAAAUAAAGCCUGCUUUCUUUCUUUCUUUACAUAGUCUGUUUUUGGAAAUACAUUUUGAAGUGGAA